rnacentral:tRNA from 1 species
AGACAAACAAUGAUCUAGAUGUCUGAGUAUUUAUUCUUAGACCUGAUCCUGUCACCUUAGGUCGAUCGGUACCUCAGAUUAAAUAUCUAGAAAAAUUGAAAAUCAAUUUGAUAGAUUGAUAAUUUCAGUUCCUAAACUUGUCUAGGUCACACCCAACAAGGGUACUCCUGGGCCAUUAGCUCAGGUGGUUAGAGCGCACCCCUGAUAAGGGUGAGGUCCCUGGUUCAAGUCCAGGAUGGCCCAUUCGAUGUUGGGGGUAUAGCUCAGUUGGUAGAGCGCCUGCUUUGCAAGCAGGAUGUCAGCGGUUCGAGUCCGCUUACCUCCACUGAUACACCUCCUGAUAGCGAAUUAAAAGGAGAUUAUCCGUGUUGGAAGUGAUUUAGAUUUCAGUUUCUAUUUGAAAGAACCUAGCUUCUUAUCAUUCCUAAUAGAAAUAUUAGGUUGUUAGGACGCUGGGCUCACUGCAUUCCAAGUGAAUGCAGAGAUGUUCAGUAGAACCUUGACAACUGCAUAGGUGAGUCUGGAAAGAAUAAAGCAUCUCAUAGAUGCAUUGUUUUUUUGGCCGUAUUUUUGAACUCUAGUUUAUUUAGAGUUUUUGAAUUAGGUUAAAAUUAAUGAUGUUAAUUCUUGAGCAAGAGUCGAGACUCUAUAACUUCUUUCAAUUUUUUUGAGAGUUUGAUUCUUUAUUGAUCAAUAACAAUUUUUGGGUUCUCUUGAAAUUGUUUUUUGCUUUCAAUCAAGAAAAAACGAGUUGUAGAGAUUUUAAU